UUAGGUAAUUUAUAAAACAGUGCCAAUGUUUUCAUGAAGGGGAGUAAGACUUGUGGUAUAAUUUAUCUUAAAUACAAUAGCAGGCCAGUCCCAAGUUUCAGUCCAGAUAGCAGAUGAGUAGCAACUCCAUGGAAGAUGUUUACUUAGAUCUUCAACCAAGUCCGAGGCUUUGCCAUGUAAGCAAUCAAGCACCAAGGAUAGCAGCUGGAAUGAAGAUUAAUUAUUACAUUGAUCUUCAAACAAGUCUGAGGCUUUGUCAUGAAAGAAAUAAUGCAAGUUAUAAAACAGUGCCAAUGUUUUCAUGAAGGGGAGUAAGACUUGUGGUAUAAGAUAUCUUAAAUACAAGUUAGCAUUACAGCUUGUACUUACAGAUUGAUGUUGGAAAUGGCUAUUAAAGUUGACUUUUAAAAGUAAGAA